AAAUGACUCUCGGCAACGGAUAUCUCGGCUCUCGCAUCGAUGAAGAACGUAGCAAAAUGCGAUACGUGGUGUGAAUUGCAGAAUUCCGUGAACCAUCGAGUUUUUGAACGCAAGUUGCGCCCAAUGUCAUUCGACAGAGGGCACGUCUGCCUGGGUGUCACGC
rnacentral:rRNA from 1 species